AGUGAACGCUGGCGGUAGGCCUAACACAUGCAAGUCGAACGGCAGCACAGGAGAGCUUGCUCUCUGGGUGGCGAGUGGCGGACGGGUGAGGAAUACAUCGGAAUCUACUCUGUCGUGGGGGAUAACGUAGGGAAACUUACGCUAAUACCGCAUACGACCUACGGGUGAAAGCAGGGGACCUUCGGGCCUUGCGCGAUUGAAUGAGCCGAUGUCGGAUUAGCUAGUUGGCGGGGUAAAGGCCCACCAAGGCGACGAUCCGUAGCUGGUCUGAGAGGAUGAUCAGCCACACUGGAACUGAGACACGGUCCAGACUCCUACGGGAGGCAGCAGUAGGGAAUAUUGCGCAAUGGGCGAAAGCCUGACGCAGCAAUACCGCGUGAGUGAGGAAGGUCUUCGGAUUGUAAAACUCUGUCGGGAUGGAAAGAUGACGUAUGGUCUAAUAGGCCGUACGAGUGAUGGUACAUCCAAAGGAAGCACCGGCUAACUUCGUGCCAGCAGCCGCCGUAA
rnacentral:rRNA from 1 species